rnacentral:rRNA from 1 species
UACGUAGGGUGCGAGCGUUAAUCGGAAUUACUGGGCGUAAAGCGUGCGCAGGCGGUUCGUUAAGUCAGCUGUGAAAGCCCCCGAGCUUAACUUGGGAAUUGCGGUUGAAACUGGCGGACUAGAAUCUGGCAGAGGGGGGUGGAAUUCCACGUGUAGCAGUGAAAUGCGUAGAGAUGUGGAGGAACACCGAUGGCGAAGGCAGCCCCCUGGGCUGAGAUUGACGCUCAGGCACGAAAGCGUGGGGAGCAAACAGGGAU